ACUUUGCCAAAAAGUUUUUUCUAAGCCCUAUAGGACAAUUCUCUGUGCAACAGAAAUCUAUUCCAUCAUUGCUUUUAGGGAUGUGUAUCUCAGAACUGGUGCUAGUCCACGAGUUCUUACAAAGCAGAUAUUCUUGAGUAAUGUAAUUUUAAUG
rnacentral:lncRNA from 1 species